rnacentral:rRNA from 1 species
UACGACUACAUAUCAGGCAUAUCAAUAAGCGGAGGAAAAGAAACUAACAAGGAUUCCCCUAGUAACGGCGAGUGAAGCGGGAAGAGCUCAAAUUUGAAAUCUUAAAGGGUUUCCCUUUACGAAUUGUAGUUUAAAGAAGUGUUUUCUGUUGGAGUUUCGGUAAAAGUUCUUUGGAAUAGGACAUCAUAGAGGGUGAGAAUCCCGUAUUUGACCGUUACUUUCCAGCUGUGUGAUACACUUUCAACGAGUCGGAUUGUUUGGGAAUGCAGUCCAAGAUGGGUGGUAAAUUUCAUCUAAAGCUAAAUAUUGGCGAGAGACCGAUAGCGAACAAGUACCGUGAGGGAAAGAUGAAAAGAACUUUGAAAAGAGAGUUAAACAGUACGUGAAAUUGUCAAAAGGGAAGCGUUUGACACCAGUGUUGUUUAGUUGAAAAUCAAUUCAAUAGUUUUUGAUUCUAAGUAGUAUUGACUUCAUCAGCUUGCUGCUUUCUUCUCAGAAAUUAUUGAAUGCACUUUUCAGUUAACAAGUCAACAUCAAUUUCUUUUGUUGUAAAAGGGUAAGAGAAAGGUGGCUUGCGCUUCGGCUCAAGUGUUUAUAGCCUUUUAUCUCUACAAUCGGAGAGAUUGAGGUCUGCAGCGUAGAUCCUUCGGGGUUAGAUACACUUGUGCUAAGUUGUAGCUCUUCAUAGACAACUUGUUGACUAUGUUUAGUCAUGCGGCUUACUCGCUUGUGCUAUUUUACCUACGCUUAGGAUGUUGAGUAGCGACAUACGCAC